rnacentral:lncRNA from 1 species
GACGUUGACACGAACCUUUAUUAUAAAGCACGUGGGGCCCACCUGAUUGGGCCACCCCCCUACCAGCAAGGGUGGGUGUGAAAAGGCCCUGAGCCAAGCAUGCACCCUCAAAGCCCAUGGUCCUCUCAAGGACACGCCCCUGGAUCAGCCUCACCUGUGGGCACCCUUAUCUGGGGACCAAGAGUGCCCGACCCCGGCCCUGGGCUCCCCGCAGCAAUCCUGGCGUGUGGGCUGGGGGACCCCGCAGGGUGUGCUCUUCCCCUCAGCUCGUGCGGACAUUGCACCUGCCGCCCAAGGGACGUCUGGGUCGCUUCCCAGGCAUGCAGCCCCCCUGGGCAAGGCCAUGCGUCUCAGACUGGCUCCCUCCUGGUUGCAGCGUGGUCUCAUCCCCCUGAAACAUGCAGGUCAAGAGGGGUUUAGCAGAAGCCUGGACGCCCACCAGGCCUCCAUUCCCAGGCCCCUGCCAAGCCCACUGGAGGCCCUAACCACGACCCUGACCAAGAGCAGAUCUUUGCUGCUUUGAAUAUUCAGCCAUUCCAUGGAGAUACACUCGGGGGCCCCAGAUGCCCCUGCCUAGCGCCCUUGGGGGCCUGGGAGCUGCUCUCCAGUGGGCAGGCCCGGCGGGGCGGAGGCCAGGCGCCCCAGCCCUAGGGCCCUGAGCUGCCAUCAGGUAGUAGGAGAUGUGAGACUGCCUGAAGCCCUGAGCCAGCCACAGACGCCUGGAGCUCCUCUAGGGGUGCAGGCUCCACACAGCUGUUGAGUGGACGGGCUCCGGCUGGGGGCUGCUGCCCUGGCCUGGCUACCCAAGCCUUGCUUCCCCCGCUCCCAAAUUCUUCACACCCUCCCUCAGCUUUGAUUUGAGCCAUAUGUAUGGUGUGCGCGCGCGCGCGCGCACACACACACACACACACACUCUCUCACUUUUUGCCUAGGGACGGUUCCCAGAACAGUUUGCUCUCAGACUAGUGGGGAAGUUGCUCUGGGGGCUCCCUCCAGCUGCCUCGCCGGUGCGUGGCCGGCUACGCCUCUGCAGUCUCGGGCUGGCUGGGGGGUGCGGGGCAGGAGGGGUGGAGAGCAGGCAGGGCCCCUGCCUUUCACAAGGGCUCCGGGCAGCACCUCUCCAGAGGCCACGGCUCUCCACAGGUGCCCCUGGGUCGCAGAGCAGCAGCAGGACUCUGAAACCCCCGCUGGGCAGCAACACAUGGACACCUCCCUCCUCCUCUCAACCUGAGCCACCCAAAGCCCAACUGCCGGAGGCUCUGGGAACAGCUCCUGAGCCACACGCUCGGCAGUGCCAGCAGAGGUGGGGCAGCGGUGGAGGGGAACUAAGGCACUGGAGGUCGUCCCGGUGUGGCUGGCAGGACCCCAGGCCCGCUCCGGGGAGACGGCACGGCUCUGGGCCCUGGGCUGCACCAAGUGCGCUGUGGCCGGCCCAGGGAGCUCACUCCUUCAUUGGUCAAGUCACCAGGGCCCAAGGGUACAAGGUUGCUAACCCC